UAUGUUCAAUAACCUUCAAAUUGAUUCUGAAAAGACUAUUGAUAUGCUUACAAGUCUUUAUAUGAAACAGCGGUGUAUUACCAGACAUUUUCAUUUGGAAAAGGGGCAAGCAAGGAAAAUAACACAAUUGGGGGUGGGGCGGGGCAUUCAGUUGUGUAUGUUUUCAAUCCAUUUAUUAUUUCAUUUGACAUCUGUCCUUGCAAUACUAAUUGUUGUCUUGGGAAGGCGAGUAUGUUUCUUUAUCUCCAACAGAUAUUGUUCAUCACUGUGCUGUUAACUGCAACAUUUUCCCACUGAAGAGUUCCCUCGGAGCAUAGGAUGUGGUGAAUGAAACUUUUGAUGAAUGAGUGGAGUUGGGAAACAUCUUGAAUGCUGAGGAUGGCAUGAGCUUCUAACUUGAGCUUCAUCAGCAGCGAGAUGGAAAAGCCCCCAGGAAGAGCCCCCAAGAAGAGCCCCCAAGAAGAGCCCCAGGAACUGCCCCCUGCCCUGGAACCAUCUUAGGUGGCCUGGAGCAGGAUAGGGACAGCUUCCUUUUUGAGUUCCAUUAGCAGCAAGUUCGAAGAGCCCAAGGAGAGCCCCAGGAAGAGCCCCAAGAAAGAGCGUCCAGGAAGAGCCCCCAGGAAGAGCCCCCAGGAAGAGCCCCCAUAAAGAACCCCAAGGAAGAGCCCAAGGAGAGCCACAAGAAGGAGCCUUCAGGAACUGCCCCCUGCCCUGGAACCAUCUUAGGUGGCCUAGAGCAGGAUAGGGACAGCUUCCUUUUUGAGUUUCAUUAGCAGCAAGUUCUAAAGGCACUGAUCUUCAGCUGUGAGUGUUUCUUCAGAUGUGGUGUUUCUUCAGAUGUGAUGCCUGUGUGUAUAACUACGUUAUCGUGACUUUUGGCGGUGAAUCAGUCAACAGAG